rnacentral:lncRNA from 1 species
GCCAGAUGCAUGAGAGAAAUGUCAAAAGGACAUGAACUCAGCCACAGGAAUCCAAAAACGUCUUCUUAGAACCUCAAUUUUCUCAUAAGUAAAAUGAGGGUCAAGGAACAGACGCUGUUGGAUUGUCGUGAGGGUGAAGGAGGCUCGUGUGGAUGACCACGCAGACCCAUGGCUCACGUGGGGCAGUGAUGGGAGUUUGGUGCCCCUUCUUCCUUGCCACAGUGAGAAGCAGAGCCUCGGGACUCAAUGCCAUCUUGGUGUAUGCCCCAGCAUGCAGACCCUGCCAUCACAUGGCUGACAGCCCACACGAGUGCUAUCAGAAAGCUGAGAUGGUGAACCUGUACUUGGAGGCCAUGCCUGCAGAGUCACAGCGGUGCAGAUCAGCUGAGAGAAUGGCCACUCUGGCCCUGGGAGGUCAGUGGGACAAGCUGUUUCCUGAUGGUCACAAGAUGGCUUCAGUGGCUCCAGAUGACACAUCCUCCCACAGCAACAUCCCAGGUAGAUGGAUGAGGCUGGCUUGGAAAGGUGAAAGAAGCACUCCUCACCCACCUGUCUUGUUCCCUUCCCAGCAGUGUCCAGGCCACCUUCCUAUGGCAUCUCCUUGGCCAGAACCCUAGCUGCAAGGGAGGCUGGGACAGGGAGUCUGGCUUUUCAGCCUAUGUGAGUGGGAGGCAGGUAAAGAUGAGUUGGGAAUGGCUGGUGUCUGGAUAACCCAUGGUGCCUUCCACGUUGCUCCACUAUGUGCUUCUGCUUUGGACCCUGCAUUCAAUUCUCCACCAGCUUCUCUCCAGAGCACUCUUGGUGAGGACAGCAACUGGUACCAGGGGAUACUACAGUAGAGCUGUUGGGAGUGCAGUGGCUGGAGCCUGACACCUGAGUUCAGAUCCUGGCUCCACUCCUCUGCUCUGGCUGAAUUAACAUCUCUGUACUUUGUUAUUAAAAAGGGGAUAAUAGUUCUUACCUGCCUCAGAAGGUUGUUUGAGAAUUCAAUGAGUUCAUAUAUGUGGAGCACUUAGAACACUGGUUGUCAAACUUGGCUGUGCCCUGGAAUCACAAGAGUAGUUUUAAAAAUUAAUGGUGCCGGCCCCACCUGCAAAGAAUCAGAUCUAACUAGUCAGAGGAGUGGCUUGGGCUUUGGAAUUUUUAAAGGCUCCCUAGUCAAUUCUAAUAUGCAGCUAAGAACACUCCUGGCACAGAGUAAGAUUCUAGUAACCUUAGCUCUGAUUGGUUUGUUCAUCAUUGUGAGGCCCA